CCAGCCAUGCCGCGUGAGUGAGAAGGCUUCGGUUGUAAAGCUCUUUCGGCGGGGAAGAAAUUGCACGGGUUAAUACCCUGUGUAGAUGACGGUACCCGAAUAAGAAGCACCGGCUAACUACGUGCCAGCAGCCGCGGUAAUACGUAGGGUGCGAGCGUUAAUCGGAAUUACUGGGCGUAAAGCGUGCGCAGGCGGUUUGGUAAGUCAGAUGUGAAAUCCCCGGGCUCAACCUGGGAACUGCAUUUGAGACUGCCAGGCUGGAGUUUGGCAGAGGGGGGUGGAAUUCCACGUGUAGCAGUGAAAUGCGUAGAGAUGUGGAGGAACACCGAUGGCGAAGGCAGCCCCCUGGGCCAAUACUGACGCUCAUGCACGAAAGCGUGGGGAGCAAACAGGAUUAGAUACCCUGGUAGUCCACGCCCUAAACGAUGUCAACUAGGUGUUGGGAGGGUUAAACCUUUUAGUGCCGUAGCUAACGCGUGAAGUUGACCGCCUGGGGAGUACGGCCGCAAGGCUAAAAACUCAAAAGGAAUUGACGGGGAG
rnacentral:rRNA from 1 species